rnacentral:rRNA from 14 species
AGGCUGAUCGCGUGCCUUUUGCAUAAUGAUCCGGCGACUUGCCGUCGGCGGCAUGGUUAAGGGCCUCUGGCCCGCAGCCGCAGGGAAACCGAGUCCCAACGGGGCGUUGGGUCGCCGGCGGCAGACGCGAAACCACGUGACCGACGCCCGGCCAGGACGAAGGUGGGGUAACACCCACUGGACGACCGAACCCACGAGUGUUGAA